AUUGAACGCUGGCGGCAUGCCUUACACAUGCGAGUCGAACGGUAACGGGCCUUCGGGUGCCGACGAGUGGCGAACGGGGGAGUAAUACAUCGGAACGUGCCCGAUCGUGGGGGAUAACGAGGCGAAAGCUUUGCUAAUACCGCAUACGAUCUACGGAUGACAGCAGGGGACCGCAAGGCCUUGCGCGGACGGAGCGGCCGAUGGCAGGUUAGGUAGUUGGUGGGGUAAAAGCUUACCAAGCCGACGAUCUGUAGCUGGUCUGAGAGGAUGAUGAGCCACACUGGGACUGGGACACGGACCAGACUCCUACGGGAGGCAGCAGUGGGGAAUUUUGGACAAUGGGCGCAAUCCUGAUCCAGCCAUGCCGCGUGCAGGAUGAAGGCCUUCGGGUUGUAAACUGCUUUUGUACGGAACGAAAAGCCUUCUUUUAAUACAGGAGGGUCAUGACGGUACCGUAAGAAUAAGCACCGGCUAACUACGUG
rnacentral:rRNA from 1 species